UAGCCUUAUCAAAAUUAUAGAUGGCAUCCAAUAUAUUAACCAAAUACCAAACCAUUUAAAAUCUAGGGAAAUUAUUGAGUAGUCCGAGACUACGAGGUCAGCUUGCUGAUCUUGUUGUCCUAGCCAAUAGAAAAAAACCACAUCAUUAAACAUAGCUGAGAUCAGCUUACUUGCCACAUCUUCUCAACACAGCUCCACACUUAACAGCCAUUGGCCCCGCUGCGUUAACCCUCUGUGCAAAUUCAAAUUUUAAUUUGAAAAUUGGGCGGGUUGGUGAAGGUAAAACUAAAAACUGAAGAAGCUUUUCAUUUUCCUCAAUCUUUUAUCUCUUUCUGUUCAGCAUCACCACCAUUGCAACGUUGGCAACAUUUCUGCACUUGCAAGGGGUUUUGGGUUCAUGUUAGUGUGGUGCUGACAGACUCAUUCAGAGUAAGCCUAUUCUCCAUGCCUAUUAGUGUUUUGUAUUGGGUGCAAGUUGUAAUUAUGAGUGUUUAGGAGGAAAAUUUUAGUUUGGAAGCGUUUUGUGUUGGGUGCAAGUUGUAAUUAUGAGUGGCUAGGAGGAAAAUUUUAGUUUGGAAGCAAAAGAGGCAUAUGGGUAGCUCUCUAAUUAGGUGGAAGGAAGGCCUUUUAUAAAGAAGAAAAUUAAUUUCUAGCAUGGCAUAAGGACAUCACGACCUGGGUCCUGGGUGCAGAGUUGCUAUUGCUCUAGGCCACCUUUCGGCAUAUUUUGAAUUAUGUUCCCUAGCUAUAAUGCUUAAGUGUGAACUAUUGUUC